rnacentral:lncRNA from 1 species
AAUACUCUACCCUUGCAGAGAUUUUAAUAGGGAAUGUUAUCUUUUUUAAUAUCCAGCAAAUCAUCUUUUACUGAUGAAUGUCUCCAAAAAUCUGUUUCUUUUUGUUUAUUUUUGCUUGAAGGAUCCAGGUUUUAAGCUGCCAAACUAAAGAUUGAGAAACCUGGAAUAACUCCUAUGCUCUUUAUAGCCCAGUUACAUAGUCUGGAGAGAAUACCUCCUUCCCUACAGACAUGAGCAGAUACAACGGUGCCCUUCCUCUUCAAAGGUCCUCCUGGCGUUAUGGAAAUGUUCUGUUUUCUGUUGCCCUCGGUGAAACAGAUCUGGAUACUGUGCAUCCCUUCUGUUAUCAACAAGCCUUUUGGAGAAAUUUUUGUUCUUCAUGACCUCCCCGUGCUUUCCCUGGAUGCCUCUGCUUGUAAAGAAAGAGGUAGGAUUGACUUUUGAUUGAUUAGCUGAGUCCCUGAUGAGAAUGGAAAUACUUCCCCUAUUGUGGGUGGAGAAGGAUUGGUUUCAGUGGCUUGACCUGCCCUGACAACUCUCUAUAUUUAGUAUGUUGUCUGAAACAUUUAUUUGGAGAUGUCAGCCAUUUAUCUCAAUCAGUUUAAAUUUUUAAUAGCAGACAACUGGAAAACAACUUUCUGGUAGAACUGUUCUACCUUUACAUAACAAGAAACUAAAUGUUUAACAUUCAUAUGAAGAAAUCUGAAGCAGAAUGUAUGAUAUAUUUUAGUAUUUUACUAACAUUAUGUAUUAUUGAGCAUUGUUUAGCUACACUUCUAAUUUAAAUAAAGUAAAAAUAAUAAUAAAUUAAACACUGCAUCUAGAAAAUAAAAAAAAUGCUUACUCCUCCACCAUGUUGUGUAGAAAGACACAAUCACUGGUUUGAGACAGUACAGUCUAUUUCUGGAUAGCAGAUGCUCUGUAGUAUAAUGAUUAUUUGUAGGACACAGGGAUUUUCAGGCAGGCUGCCAAACAGCCCAUGUGCCUCUGCUUAUUGCCACAUUUCUUAAAGGUAGGCUUUUUAAUUGGAAAAGGAGACUUUAUGUGUGAUUUGCUAUGCAGUUCUUGAGAAGUAGUUUUUAAAAUCAAAUGCUAUCAUAUUUUUCCACAUGCACGAAACUUCAGAGAAUGUGCUUCCUCAACAAUCACAUGUUAAACUAUAAUGCUCUGCAGAACUCAGAUGUUGAUAAGAAGACAGAAAAACUGAGAACUGCAUCUUGGGCCCCUAGAUAAGUUCAUGUAAACUGUAAUGUACAUAUCUGCUAUAAAGAGCAAGUAGUACGUUCACUAACAUGUUCCUUCUCCAAUACAAAGUGAUCUUACUAAGUACUCUUCCUAGGUAUCUCUACCUAGACCUCUAUAUUCAUCUAUAGUCUGUACAAUACACCCACCCCCACACAGCAGUGGUUAACUACAGAUGAGUCCAAUUCCAGCAUUUUAUGGGCAUGGCAAACAUAUGGUUUGCAUACUCUAGACCCCGUCUGAGAAUUCACAGCUGUCUAGGUCACCAGACAUAUAGGCCUUGCUCUGUAGAUAUGGGUCGCAGUCCUGCAGUGAUAAAACUAUAGGAUUCUAUCAUAGAGGAACUAAAAGAUGAUGAAAAGAUGAACACAUUUCUUCACUACAAACUUGAAGG